rnacentral:tRNA from 1 species
GGUCAAUUAACUCAGCUGGUAGAGUGUCUCCUUGACGUGGAGGAAGUCGGGGGUUCGAGUCCCUCAUUGACCA